rnacentral:rRNA from 1 species
ACUUAGUGGCAGACGGGUGAGUAACAUGUGGGUAUCUACCCUUUGGCCUGGAAUAACACGAGGAAACUUGUGCUAAUACCGGAUAAGUCUUUACGGAGAAAGCUUUAUGCACCAUUGGAUGAGCCCGCACUUGAUUAGUUUGUUGGUAGGGUAAUGGCCUACCAAGACUAUGAUCAAUAGCUGAUUUGAGAGGAUGAUCAGCCACAUUGGGACUGAGACACGGCCCAAACUCCUACGGGAGGCAGCAGUGGGGAAUCUUGCACAAUGGAGGAAACUCUGAUGCAGCGAUGCCGCGUGAGUGAAGAAGGCCUUUGGGUUGUAAAGCUCUUUCGUCGGGGAAGAAAAUGACUGUACCCGAAUAAGAAGGUCCGGCUAACUUCGUGCCAGCAGCCGCGGUAAUACGAAGGGACCUAGCGUAGUUCGGAAUUACUGGGCUUAAAGAGUUCGUAGGUGGUUGAAAAAGUUGGUGGUGAAAUCCCAGAGCUUAACUCUGGAACUGCC